CAUUGUCUCAGCCACUGCCGGUAUGAUGACCGCGACAUCGUCGUCUCUUGUUGAUUCCACUUCGACCGAUGGCACAUUGGAUGGAGGAAGCAUUAUUGGAGCCGACAGUGCGAUGACCAACUCAGCAUUGGGAAUCACUACCGACAGAAUGUCGGUCUCCCUCAUCGGUUUCGACUCCGAAUUGACCUGACUCUUCUUUGU
rnacentral:lncRNA from 1 species